rnacentral:rRNA from 1 species
GAACUCGGAUAUAGCUGGUUCUCCUCGAAAUAGCUUUAGGGCUAGCCUCAAGGUAAAGAUACACGGGGGUAGAGCACUGACUGUUCGCGGGGCCUUCACCGGUUACCAACAACUAUCAAACUCCGAAUACCGUGCUAUCAUACUUGGGAGUCAGACUAUGAGAGAUAAGUUCCAUGGUCGAAAGGGAAACAGCCCAGAUCAACAGCUAAGGUCCCAAAGAGUAAGUUAAGUGGAAAAGGAUGUGGGAUUGCACAAACAGCUAGGAUGUUGGCUUAGAAGCAGCCAUACAUUUAAAGAGUGCGUAAUAGCUCACUAGUCGAGUGAUCCUGCGCCGAAGAUAAACGGGGCUCAAACUUACCACCGAAGCUUUGGAAUUAGUAUAACUAAUUGGUAGAGGAGCAUUCUAUACAGGUAGAAGGAGGCGCGUAAGCAAAUCUGGACGGUAUAGAAGAGAGAAUGUUGGCAUGAGUAGCGUAAGGCGGGUGAGAAUCCCGUCCGCCGAAAAUCUAAGGUUUCCUGAGGAAGGUUCGUCCUCUCAGGGUAAGUCGGGACCUAAGCCGAGAGCGAACGCUGUAGGCGAUGGACAACAGGUUGAUAUUCCUGUACCACCAAGGAUUGUUUGAAUGAAGUGGGGACACAGAAGGAUAGAUUGAGCACGCCGUUGGUUGAGCGUGUCCAAGCAGUAAGGCUUGAAAGUAGGCAAAUCCGCUUUCUACAAGGCUGAGCUGUGAUGGGGUGGUCGAAUGACCGGUAGCAAUCGAUUUCACGCUGUCAAGAAAAGCCGCUAAUGAGAUCCAAGGUGCCCGUACCGCAAACCGACACAGGUAGAUGAGGAGAGAAUCCUAAGGUGAGCGAGAGAACUAUUGUUAAGGAACUCGGCAAAAUAACCCCGUAACUUCGGGAGAAGGGGUGCCUGCUUCGGCAGGCCGCAGUGAAGAGGUCCAGGCAACUGUUUACCAAAAACACAGGUCUCUGCUAAAGCGAAAGCUGAUGUAUAGGGGCUGACGCCUGCCCGGUGCUGGAAGGUUAAGGGGAAGUGUUAGGGCAACCGAAGCACAGAACUUAAGCCCCAGUAAACGGCGGCCGUAACUAUAACGGUCCUAAGGUAGCGAAAUUCCUUGUCGGGU